UUACCGGUUUGAACUGACAGAGAUUGGGCUGCCCAGAGGUGCUGCAUGGCUGUCGUCAGCUCGUGCCGUGAGGUGUUCGGUUAAGUCCGGCAACNAGCGCAACCCUGCCCUAGUUACCAGCGUUCGGGACUCUAGGGGACUGCCUCGGUUAAGNGGAGGAAGGUGGGGAUGACGUCAAGUCAUCAUGGCCUUUAUGCCGGGCUACACACNUGCUACAAUGGGGUACAAGGGGCACCGCGAGGGGAGCAAUCCCAAAACCGUCCCAGUUCGGAUUGCAGUCUGCAACUCNACUGCAUGAAGUUGGAAUCGCUAGUAAUCGCUAUCANCAGGAGCGGUGNAUACGUUCCCGGGCCUUGUACACACCGCCCGUCACACCACGAAAAUCGUUGACCGA
rnacentral:rRNA from 1 species